rnacentral:rRNA from 1 species
CCCUUAGAUGUUCUGGGCCGUACGCGCGCUACACUGAUGCAUUCAACGAGCCUAUCCUUGACCGACAGGUCCGGGUAAUCUUUGAAUCUGCAUCGUGACGGGGAUAGAUUAUUGCAAUUAUUAAUCUUCAACGAGGAAUGCCUAGUAGGCGCAAGUCAUCAGCUUGCGUCGAUUACGUCCCUGCCCUUUGUACACACCGCCCGUCGCUCCUACCGAUUGGGUGUGCUGGUGAAAUGUUCGGAUCGGCCGUUUGUCGCGGUUUCCGCGGCUCGUGGCUGAGAAGUUCAUUAAACCCUCCCACCUAGAGGAAGGAGAAGUCGUAACA